AGAGGAGAAACGAAAGAAGACUCUUGGCAAGAAGCUUCAAUUCCGUUCCAUCCGCACAUUCACUCGGUUCCAUCCCACCCAUUCCACCCACUCCUUCGGUUCCACUCCAUCCAUUCCAUUCCAUCCACUCCACCCACUCCAUCCACUGCAUUUCACCCCUUUCCUCCCUGUAAUGAUUAUUAAGGUCCUGCUGCCUGCCAGACACUAUGUCUACACAGAGUUCCUCUUUUUGUCUCUACAGCAGUCACCCUUCCGUCCUCAUCUCUGAGAAGACCACAGCCACUGACUGAGUCAUAGAUUGCUGGCUGCACUUAGGACAGUGAAUCACUCUCACUGCUGUCUCCUGAUCCAGCCUCCCUGGGCCCAUCCAUACUUGAGGACUUUUUUUCCUCAGGCUACUCAUUUGAGCACAGUUCCCUGGAGAUUCAUCCACAGUUCUGUGUGCAUCAGCAGUUUAUUCCUUCCCUUCGUGGCGCAGUGUUCCACGGCCCAGGUGUCCAUUUGUUCCACUGGUCACCUGUUGAAGGACCGCAGGGCCGCCUCAGGUUUGGGGUUGUUGUGAAUACAGCUGCUGGAGCCAUUCACGUGCAGUGCGGGACGGUAUGGUUGCUGUAUGUUUUGUUUGAUGUGAGACUGCCAGACUGGUUUCCAUGGCAACUGUACCACCACACGUUCCCACCAGCACCGUGAGUGACCGAUUUCCCCAGCUUCUCCUAAGUAUUUGCUGUUCUCACUCGCUACUUUUUAUUUUAGCCAGUCUAGUAGGUGUGCAGGUUUUGUUUGCAUUUUCCUGACGGUUAGUGAUGUGGAAUAUCUUUUCAUGGGUUUCUUUGCCAUUCGUACAUCAUCUUUGGUGAGCUGUCUGUUCCUGUGGCUUGCCCGUUCUCUAAUAGGAUUGCUGUAUUUUCACUGGUUAACUCUGAGUUGUUAGGUAUGCUGGACAUCAUCUUGCUGUCAGAUACGCAGUAUGCCAGUGUUUCCCUCUGGCCUGUAGCUGUCUGUCCGUCCUCUUCACAGGGGCUCAUGCAGAGCUGAGGUCUUCAGUUUGAGUGAGGCUCCCUCCUAGAUAGCCCACUUCUAACCUGUUGACUUGAUCUCCAAACUUGCCUUGGCCUCUAACCCACUUUUCUCCGUGUCUGUGGGUCCCUUCUAAAACCGUGUGUUGUAGGCUGCUCCUCUCAUAGUCGAGAUGGCCCUCCCUUCCCACCCUGGAGGUGUUGGUAGAACCUUCCAGAGAAGGCCUCCUCCAGACCCUCCCCACAGGCACCCGCAGCCCAUCUCACGCUCUCCACCAGGCGUCAGACACGGCGGAUGGUGGCUUCCGAAACAGACAUGUCAGAAUCUGUCAUUUGUAGUCAGUUGCCAGUGGGCUUUAGAAUCUAGAUGUCAUGUUUUGUGCCUCGUUUGAAAUUUCCUCUUUGUUAUCCUGAGUUUUAUUUCAAGGGAUGGCAGGAGAUUGUCAUAUUACCGUUAGAAGAGCAUAUUCUGUUCUUGCUUUGGCCGGUUACAUGUGUUCUUAUACAUUAGUCUUAUUUUUCCUUCCUUUAAUGGCGGUGAUCGGCAUAGUGAAUUUAGGUGUUUACAAACCAUUGCUUGUUGGAAUUUUUUGUUAGCUUCUUAAUUCUUAUUGUCUGGGAGCAGGAAACUUCAUGAUAGAAAUAGUGACGCUUUUCCACAGCCUGCAAUCGAGGUCAGCCGCUGGGGCCACGAGCGUCCUCUGCAGACAGCGCAAGCGGCCAGCACUCACCCAGCCGGUAGCUGCCGGCUGCCACAGGUCAGACAGGUUUGCAGAGGGGAGCACUGAGUAAGGCGGAGUCUCCCGUUUCCCGUUUCCUGUGCAGGGGAUCCGGAGGAGAGACCACAGUUAUUAAAGAGAUUUUUGUAAACCAACAGAAAUGUCUUCUCUCUUUCCUCACAGCAGUGGGAGAUUCCAGACCUCAGCGUCAGAAAUGUAUUCGAACCCAGCAGCCUCAGUAGCGUAUUUGGCACGAAUGGGACUAAACCGACCAGCACGGCCAAGUUCCAUCUGGGUAAUGAGCCAAGAUUCUCUCCUCCCGCUGGAAGUGGGGUUUCAAACUCGGCAUUUCCUCAGAAAGAGGAGAAAACACAUGUUUUCAUGUCUCCUCUUCUCAGACCAUCUGAGCACCAGUCAGCCCCCGGCAUUAUCAGGUUCCUCGGAGCUCCGAGCCGACGAAUCUCCCCCGGAACCACAGGAGCACGUGGCUGACGAGCCUGCUCCGUGUCCUUGAGGCCACUGUGACCUUCGGGGUAUUUGACUUGAGCAAGUGUUUUCGGGAACCCAGAAGAGGAGUCUUCAGGGCUCUUUGGGGAAGGACUUGCAAGAGCAGAAUGCUAGUGUGAAGGGGGAAGAUAAACACGGACCACCCAGUGCCGUCCCUGGUCUGGUGGCAGAUACACAGGGGUGCAGUUCGCUGAGAAGUGGCUGUCGCGUUGCCAGCACUGAGAGCCCCGAGCACCACCUCCCACAGACACACUGGGACCCGGGUCCCCUCCUGCCCCAAAUGCCACCUCCUGCAGACACACAGGGACCUGGGUCCCCCCCUCCCCAUUACAGGGCUGUCCGUCAGCUGCUUGCAGAUGUCCGCUUCCACUGAAAGCCAGCUAAGAAUGCAGGAUUCUCAGCUUUAAAACAAACAAGAAUGCCUCGAUGGGGUCGUCAGCACCCCUGUUUUCCCACGGCCGGAGCUGCUGGCAGGCUGCUCCGUUUGCACACCGCCCUUCCCGCUUCAGUGUUGGUCGCCUCCCAGCCUGACAGCCACCUGAACCACGCCCUGCUUCCCGGCAGUCCUUAGUCUGCACUCCCGGCCGGCCCGCUCGCUAACCCUGCCCGUGGCCACAUGUCUCCGCGGAGCCCCCCUCGCAGCUGGCCCUGUCCGAAGCGUCUCCCACUGCACACCUGCUCCUCACCAGGGCACCCAGUCCAUUUCUGCUCUUUCCCACACUCAACAUGGACACUUGCUGUCAGGGCUGCCGAUGCCCGGGUGUACCUGGGCCACCCCGCAGGCCUGACACUGUUGCCGGCCACCCUUCUCUGUGCACGUCCUUCAUGCGUGACGUGGCAGCACCGUGCCUGGUUUCCUCCUGCCCCCUCCUCCCGGCCGGCUCCCCCUCCUUAGCCUGAACGUAAGGUGCCCCGCGCAGAUUCCCCUCUGGUCCCCAGCCUUUGAGACGGCCCGUCCGUUGAGGACCCAAGAUUCACAUGUCUGCAGUACUCCCGUCUUCCAGCUGCACACGCGCCAUGGGGUCCCCUUGACGUAUGCAGUGGGUGGCUCAGGUCCUGCAAAGUCAGCAAGCCAGGAGCGAGCUCCGUCCCCUCACCCCAGAGCUCACUCGGAGUCUCCGCUUGAGGAAGCACGGUCCGUCGGCUUAGUCGUCCCUUGUAUUCUGUCCUUCACUCCCCUCAUGUCUGACCCGUCACUAACCAGUCCACUUCUUGUCCAGAAUUCCCUGGAAUGCCUGGAACCCAGUGGCUUUCCCCAUGUCGACGGCCUCCACCCCCAGGGAACACAGCAUCGUGUCUUCCCUGGUACCUGCACAGCCCCCUCACUGGUCUACUGACUUCCACAGAUGGUCCCUUGCCCUGUCUGCACUCCUGGGGCAGACUGAAUGACCUUUUAAAGAAAUCUGUCUAGUCUUUUGCCCCUUCUUCUGGGGACCCACCCUGCUCCCCUCCCACCUGGGUAAAAGAGGAAGCCCUCCCCAAGGCCCAAAGCCCAGCCUGCCCAUCUCAGCCUCGCCUGUACCUUCCUCCUCGUCCACCCCUGCUGCAGCCCCAGGGCCUUUACACAUGCUGUUCACUCUGCCUAAAGCACCAUCCCUGCUCACCUUCCUGGCCACUCCCAGUGGCCCCUAUGUAUCAGCUCUGCCAUCAUUCCCCAAGGGACCUUCCCUUUCUGGACCAGGUGGACAUCACUCUGUGGUCGCCUCUUCCUUGGUGACACACCCCUUACGUGGUCCUUUAGUUCCUAUUUGUCUUUUCCACCAGACUGUCAGCUCAUGUGGUUUUGUUCAUCACAAAAUGCAUAGCAUGUGACAGAGGAGGAACUCAGUAAACACAGGAUGAAUGAAUGAGCUACAAAUAAUAGCCUUGUAGCUGGAAAUCAGAGGCUAGGAAGGACGAAUGGGAGAGCGAGGCUGUGGGGGCCGUAGGACUUGAACUCAGGUCUCUGAGACACCAGGGUCCGCCGCCCCGUCCUCACACACGUCCAUCCCUUCUCUGUUCUCUCCGGAGGAGGAUUCAGGGCUCCAUCUGCGUCCACCUGUGGUUCUCUGUUCUCAUUGCUGUUCGUGCCUCAAGAAAAGCAAACGUGGCAGGUUCCUGAGUCACAGUACGACACACAGUCCGCAGACACCCAGGAGGCUCAAUCGUUAAGAGAUUUGGAGGCAGUUGUUGAAACGUGUGGACGAGUAACCAGCCUCAUCAGCACGUCGCCAGACUGGAACCCUGCUCCCCCUUUCCACGUGGACCAGUGUCCUCACGCUGGGGGCUCCCAUGUCUGAGGACACAGUCCCCGCCCAGCUCUGGCGGCAGCUUCACUGCAGCUGGAGAGGGUGCACAGCUGGCUGGGUCCUGGGCGACAGGAGUUCCCUCUGGGGGAGGGGUGCCCUUGAGGAAAAUCAGGGUGCAGUGAGCCAGGAGGUGGGUCAGGUAAUGCUCUCCCGAGCUCGGGGCCAGGCGGGUGUGGGCCCAGAUCACACACUUGUGACCCCUUCAGUGGGGCUGCUUGUAGGUGAGCGUGAGGCAGGGGAACGGACGGAAAGGUGAGUCCGUGCGUCACAGGUGAGGGGUACGGAGGUCACCCAUCAGGAUCCUCCUGGGCAGCUCCGGGGGGCAGAAGCCAGGCCCCUUGACGCCUCCUUUACACUCCGAGUGGAACUGAUGACUGUUACUGGAAAAGAAGACGAAACGUUCGGCUUAUUAUUUGUAACAGUCCUCAAGCCGGACUCUAAACUAGAUGAGCCUUUCGCCAUGUUUUAAACCUGUACCAGCUCUUACAGAAGUGAAAAUAUUAUCUUCUUGGGAGGUGCCGCUGUGGGCCCCUCGGGGGCCGUGUCUCUGGUCGAGGAGCUGGUUACCCUCCAAUCUUCCAUCCAAGGACGUGUGUUAGGGGAGUCUGCCUUGUGGUUUGUGUUAUUAAAACAGUA